rnacentral:lncRNA from 1 species
CCCCUCGAGACACUCCCAUGCAUUUGCUGCCAUAUUUCCAUAUUCCCCAACUCUUCUUACUUUUAUUGACAAGGUGAAUCCUAAAUCUCCUUUGGGGCUGUCAGUUCUGUCUAUCCUUGCAAUGAUUUACCCUCAGCUAUCUUUUCAUGCAUAAUUCUCCAGGCAAUCUUAUUCCCCUAUGUGCUGAAAAACCCCAAAAUCAGUACGCCAGCCUAGACUCACCCACCCAGAUCCCUCCAUCCAACUGAUUCCAACAUGUCCUUUCAUGUGUGUCUUCCCUCGUUCUCAGCAUGUCGAUUCCUUUGGGGUCACUCAGUUAUGAAUACCAUCUCAUCCAGUGCCCUCUCUGCCUCCAACACAUCCAUUCUUCUUGUUCUCUGGAUUUUGACUUUGGUGCCAUCUCCACCAGAAUCUUUCCAUAACCCUUCGUGACUCCCACAGCGCUGUUCUUCCCCUGCUGUGGUUCUUACUAUAUCAGAGUUGCCACUGACAUGUCUGUCUGCCUUUACUGAAUGUAAACUACUAGAGGGCAGGGUUUAUGUCUUAUUUGCAAUCACAUCCUUUUUUUUUUUUUUAGUAAGAAAUGAGAUUGGAAAACUUGGAAGCACAUGUAAGGGAUUGACACCUCAAAAAGGAGGAGAGCACAUUGUUCUCUGGGACUGGACUGAGGGAGAUGAGAAUAGACGCUGAUCUAUAUAUAUUUAUAGGUUGCACGGGAAGUUGAGGGGACUUACGGACACAAUUUGCAUAGUAGAGUAGGAGGUAAAAUGGUUUCCUGAGAAUGAAGGAGAGGGGCUUGGGUUUGGGGCUUGAGUUGAGUCAUGAAGAUACAGGCAGGCUAUGGAGGGGCCAGGGAG